GAUGAACGCUAGCGGCAGGCCUAAUACAUGCAAGUCGAGGGGCAGCAUUAGUACUUGUACUAGAUGGCGACCGGCGCACGGGUGCGUAACGCGUAUGCAACCUACCCUUUACUACGGGAUAGCCCGGGGAAACCCGGAUUAAUACUGUAUGGUACCAUCAGAUGGCAUCUGAAGAUGGUUAAAGAUUUAUCGGUAAGGGAUGGGCAUGCGUGACAUUAGUUAGUUGGUGAGGUAACGGCUCACCAAGACGAUGAUGUCUAGGGGUUCUGAGAGGAUGAUCCCCCACACUGGCACUGAGAUACGGGCCAGACUCCUACGGGAGGCAGCAGUAGGGAAUAUUGGUCAAUGGGCGAGAGCCUGAACCAGCCAUGCCGCGUGCAGGAAGACGGCCUUCUGGGUUGUAAACUGCUUUUAUCAGGGAACAAAAAGGCCAUGCGUGGCAAAUUGCGUGUACCUGAAGAAUAAGGACCGGCUAACUCCGUGCCAGCCGCCGCCGUAACAC
rnacentral:rRNA from 1 species